rnacentral:rRNA from 1 species
GAGUUUGAUCAUGGCUCAGGAUGAACGCUGGCGGCGUGCCUAAUACAUGCAAGUCGAGCGAACAGACGAGGAGCUUGCUCCUCCGACGUUAGCGGCGGACGGGUGAGUAACACGUGGAUAACCUACCUAUAAGACUGGGAUAACUUCGGGAAACCGGAGCUAAUACCGGAUAAUAUAUUGAACCGCAUGGUUCAAUAGUGAAAGACGGUUUUGCUGUCACUUAUAGAUGGAUCCGCGCCGCAUUAGCUAGUUGGUAAGGUAACGGCUUACCAAGGCAACGAUGCGUAGCCGACCUGAGAGGGCGAUCGGCCACACUGGAACUGAGACACGGUCCAGACUCCUACGGGAGGCAGCAGUAGGGAAUCUUCCGCAAUGGGCGAAAGCCUGACGGAGCAACGCCGCGUGAGUGAUGAAGGUCUUCGGAUCGUAAAACUCUGUUAUUAGGGAAGAACAAAUGUGUAAGUAACUAUGCACGUCUUGACGGUACCUAAUCAGAAAGCACGGCUAACUACGUGCCAG